UUCUUCCUCUUCUCUAAGACUCUAACCUAUUCACUAACCUAACCGCGCCUCUCGCUUUCUUCUUCUUCUUCUUCUUCUUCUUCUUCUUCCUCUCUUCUCCUCUAUCAUGAGCGCAACUUUUGGCAGAUUGAUUUGCUUAUCAAUCGUAUUAUUCAGUCAAUAAAAGUAAGAGAGAAUUGUUGAGUUUUCUUCCUCUUCAGAGUUUAUACGACUGAAUGCUACCAAACCCUAACCCUGAAUCACCCAAACAUACGCACAAUUUUACCUGUUUCAUUACCUUCUCAAUCCAUAGUUGUUCUAACUUAGCCGUAUAAUGAAUCUAAUUAUCGCUUUACCUUCUGAAACCCUACUUUCAUUUUGUCUUUCCUCUAUAGAAGUAUAAGUUAAUGAUCUUCGAACCUUCAAUUUUCCAUUUAUUCUUUAUUAUCAUCAAUUUUUUCGCUAAACAUUUUAGUUAUAGGUGUUGUUUAAUUCUCACUGAUACUUAAUAGGGUUUUGAUGUUUGCAUAUGUUUAUUAGUAAUUGAUGGUGUCCUGACUCUCACAAGGUAAAAACCCCUCUAUUUUCAUUCAUAUAAGAACCACAUGUGUAAUUAGCUAACUUAAUUGUUUUGUUUAGAUUUCAAUCUUCUCUUCUGUUUUCCUUCAUUCACUGAUUUUUUGUGUGGUUUUUAAAGAUCCUUUCAUUUUGAUGAAGAUUUAUGUUUAUGGUAAGGCCGUAAGGGAUUACUUUGUUAUCAUAUCUAUAUAUGUCAUAUGCGCAGCUCUGAUACAAAGUGUAUAUUUAGGAUUCUGUAUGUGGGCUUUGGAAGUGGAAUUGCAUUUCUUGAUGUGUAUUUGGUAUCUGAUUUUGGACAAUGAUAAAUUCUUGAAUUGAAAUGAAAAUUAAAUUAGUUUGAUCUUGAAUCAUGAAGUUUGGGUUCUGUUGUCAGUGCUAAUGCAUGCUUGGUAUUUUGGUGCCAAUUUGUUUCUGUCUCAGGUUUCUGGGAAAGAUGGAAGCAAAAAGUAUUUCAGUUCUUCUAUAUCCUUGUCUUGUUAUGGUAAUUCUGACAUGAAGAGUGGCUAAUCAAGUACCAGCUGCGGAGCACAAAUUAUAUUAUCCACCUACUAGUCGCUAUGAUUACUAUUAUCCAGGACAUGAUGGAUCAUAUCCUGAAUGGGAUGAUGGUUACUAUUUUCACGCAGGUGAUGGAUCAGAGAUUUCGUACUCGGUGAACUCAUUGGUGCAGAUAUUCCUAAAUGACCAAACUACUGAUGUGUUAUGAAAUGGCAGCUGAUUAUCACUCGGAACCACCUCAUUUAAUAAGUAGCCUUGUUGCUGACAGUUGCGGUUCUAUUCUUCAUUGUUUGUGGAAGAUCUCAGCUUCAUUGUGUGUGGAAGAUCUAUUUGACACGAGUGGUAUUACUUGGUUUGACAUUGUGGAGGAUUAGGUGUUGGUGGGUAGGUGUUGAGGUAGGAGGAUCAUGUUUUUAGAUAUGUAUGUACCUUCGAUGAUUUAUGCAGAUAUGGGAUGGUAUUCACAACCCAUUGCGCACAUCGAUACUGAGAAUGAGAGGAAGUCGAAGAUGAUGAGGUCAGUUUCUUCUAAAUUUGGCUAGAUAGCACUGAUCGAAAUGGAUACAUACGCGGAAUGGUGCUGGUGUUUUUAAAAUUUCAAAGCGAUAGAGAUGAUGCAGUUCUUGGGGAUGUUUCAAGAGGCGACGUGAUUAAGUGGCCAAAAGCUUAUGUAAAAAGCUUAUGUAAUUCUUGUAUAAGAGAGACCAAAUUAGGGUGGCAAGAAAUACAGUUCUUUCAGUAUGCGGUGUAUUUGAAGAUUUUAUUUUGUUGGAUGUUAUUUUGGGUAAUUAAUCAAUAAAGUUUAUUUCAGAUUCAA